rnacentral:rRNA from 1 species
GACGAACCGUGCGAACGUUAUUCGGAAUCACUGGGCUUAAAGCGCGUGUAGGCGGGUCGGCGCGUCGGCCGCUGAAAUCCCCCGCUCAACCGGGGAAGGGGCGCCGAGACGGCCGGCCUGGAGGGACGUAGGGGGGGCUGGAACUUCCGGUGGAGCGGUGAAAUGCGUGAGAUGAGGAAGCAGACCCGGUGGCGAAAGCGGACC